GAAGUCAUGAAGUCAUCCUCUGCCUGUGACCCUUUACAGCCCUAACGGGCAGAAGUUACUCCGGCAGGGCACAUUGAGAUCUAGAUUGGCUAAUAUUACUCUGUGUGACUCACGUACCAGGCAGUUCCUCUUCCUGCAUUACAUUCUAUGUUGUAGUAAAGAAUCCACUUGACAAGUACGCCUUACUGAGGAGCUCCUCUGUGGGCACUGGAACAACCGCCCUGUCCGCACAGUACCACUGACAGUCUGCUGUGCUACGCUUCAGGACCUCGGUUACAGCAUGGACGUAAUCUGCG